AUUGAACGCUGGCGGCAUGCUUUACACAUGCAAGUCGAGCGGCAGCGCGGGGGCAACCCUGGCGGCGAGCGGCGAACGGGUGAGGAAUACAUCGGAACGUACCCCGGAGUGGGGGAUAACGCCGCGAAAGCGGCGCUAAUACCGCAUAUGCUCUGAGGAGGAAAGUGGGGGACCUGCAAGGGCCUCACGCUCUGGGAGCGGCCGAUGUCCGAUUAGCUAGUUGGUGGGGUAAAGGCCCACCAAGGCGACGAUCGGUAGCUGGUCUGAGAGGAUGAUCAGCCACACUGGGACUGAGACACGGCCCAGACUCCUACGGGAGGCAGCAGUGGGGAAUUUUGGACAAUGGGGCAACCCUGAUCCAGCCAUUCCGCGUGAGUGAAGAAGGCCUUCGGGUUGGUAAAGGACUCUUUUGUUCGGGGGUACGAAACGGUUUCACCUAAUACGUGAGACUACUGACGGUACCCGAAGAAUAAGCACCGGCUAACUACGUGCCAGCAGCCGCGGU
rnacentral:rRNA from 1 species